rnacentral:rRNA from 1 species
GACGAACGCUGGCGGCGUGCUUAACACAUGCAAGUCGAACGGUAAGGCCCCUCGGGGUACACGAGUGGCGAACGGGUGAGUAAAACGUGGGUGAUCUGCCCUGGACUUCGGGAUAAGCCUGGGAAACUGGGUCUAAUACCGGAUAGGGAUCCUGUCUGCAUGGGUGGGGGUGGAAAGCUUUUGCGGUGUGGGAUGGGCCCGCGGCCUAUCAGCUUGUUGGUGGGGUGAUGGCCUACCAAGGCGACGACGGGUAGCCGGCCUGAGAGGGUGACCGGCCACACUGGGACUGGGAUACGGCCCAGACUCCUACGGGAGGCAGCAGUGGGGAAUAUUGCACAAUGGGCGCAAGCCUGAUGCAGCGACGCCGCGUGAGGGAUGACGGCCUUCGGGUUGUAAACCUCUUUCAGCACAGACGAAGCGCAAGUGACGGUAUGUGCAGAAGAAGGACCGGCCAACUACGUGCCAGCAGCCGCAGUAA